rnacentral:rRNA from 1 species
GGAUUAGAUACCCGGGUAGUCCACGCUGUAAACGAUGUCGACUUGGAGGUUGUUCCCUUGAGGAGUGGCUUCCGGAGCUAACGCGUUAAGUCGACCGCCUGGGGAGUACGGCCGCAAGGUUAAAACUCAAAUGAAUUGACGGGGGCCCGCACAAGCGGUGGAGCAUGUGGUUUAAUUCGAUGCAACGCGAAGAACCUUACCUACUCUUGACAUCCAGAGAACUUAGCAGAGAUGCUUUGGUGCCUUCGGGAACUCUGAGACAGGUGCUGCAUGGCUGUCGUCAGCUCGUGUUGUGAAAUGUUGGGUUAAGUCCCGCAACGAGCGCAACCCUUAUCCUUUGUUGCCAGCGAUUCGGUCGGGAACUCAAAGGAGACUGCCAGUGAUAAACUGGAGG